AUACCAUGAUGAGGACAUUUUCUGAGUAACUCCUUAAAUCUCUCCCAUGCGUCAUACAAGCUCUCAUCUUCAAGUUAAUGGAAAGAUGUGAUCUCGUUCCUCCACAU
rnacentral:snoRNA from 1 species